UUGUCCCCACCCCUGUGGUGCUAUGGCCUUUGGUGGAGAUGAGGGCCCCUCCAGCUCCAGUCUCAGUGCCAGGAGUGGCAGGGCAUGGACUAUGGCAUGGAUUUUUGGAGAUGUCUCCUCAGGAAAAAAAUAAUUUGAGGACUCAGAGAUAGCUCAGUAUUUGAAGAUGGGAUUUACAAUAAUGCUUUAAAAAUACUGCAACACUUGAAAGAAUCAAUUUUAAAAAGCCUUAUUUGGAUUAAAGUUCAGAGAAGAACACAUGAUUUUUAAAGGCCAAAUAACCUGCCAACAUCCCUCAAAACCAUGUUUAAUAUGCUGAGAAGAAUGUAUAAACUCUCAGUUUAAACAAUUAUAAUAUCCAUCCUAAGGAACUGGCAAGGUAUAGAAUUAAUGGAAACUCCUUAUU